rnacentral:pre_miRNA from 1 species
GUACGAUUUUCCUCGAAUAUUUCGGAACGCUCGAGUUCCGUCGUCAGCGAGUUAGAGUUUAACGUUUAUAACUAAGUUUUUAACUCUAACUCGCUGACGACGGAACUCGAGCGUUCCGAAAUAUUCGAGGAAAAUCGUAC